rnacentral:rRNA from 1 species
UACAGAGGGUGCGAGCGUUGUCCGGAAUCACUGGGCGUAAAGGGCGCGUAGGUGGCGACCCAAGUCUGUGGUGAAAGCUCGCCGCUCAACGGCGAGUCGGCCACGGAGACUGGGUGGCUUGAGCACUGUAGGGGCAGGUGGAAUUCCCGGUGUAGCGGUGGAAUGCGUAGAGAUCGGGAAGAACAUCGGUGGCGAAGGCGGCCUGCUGGGCUCUUGCUGACACUGAGGCGCGACAGCGUGGGGAGCAAACAGG